GACGAACGCUGGCGGCGUGCCUAAUACAUGCAAGUCGAGCGCAGGAAACUGACGGAACUCUUCGGAGGGAAGGCAGUGGAAUGAGCGGUGGACGGGUGAGUAACACGUAAGGAACCUGCCUCAAGGAUUGGGAUAACUCCGAGAAAUCGGAGCUAAUACCGGAUAGUUCAUCGGACCGCAUGGUCCGCUGAUGAAAGGCGCUCCGGCGUCACCUUGAGAUGGCCUUGCGGUGCAUUAGCUAGUUGGUGGGGUAACGGCCCACCAAGGCGACGAUGCAUAGCCGACCUGAGAGGGUGAUCGGCCACACUGGGACUGAGACACGGCCCGGACUCCUACGGGAGGCAGCAGUAGGGAAUCUUCCACAAUGGACGAAAGUCUGAUGGAGCAACGCCGCGUGAGUGAUGAAGGUUUUCGGAUCGUAAAACUCUGUUGUAAGGGAAGAACACGUACGAGAGGGAAUGCUCGUACCUUGACGGUACCUUACGAGAAAGCCACGGCUAACUAUGUGCCAGCCGCCGCGGUAA
rnacentral:rRNA from 1 species